AGAUUGAACGCUGGCGGCAUGCCUAACACAUGCAAGUCGAACGGGAGUAGCAAUACUCUAGUGGCGGACGGGUGAGGAAUACGUAGGAAUUUGCCCUUAAGUGGGGGAUAACCCGGGGAAACCCGGAUUAAUACCGCAUGACCUCGAAAGAGCAAAGUGGGGGAUCGCAAGACCUCACGCUUUUGGAGAAGCCUACGUCGGAUUAGCUAGUUGGUGAGGUAAUGGCUCACCAAGGCGACGAUCCGUAACUGGUCUGAGAGGAUGAUCAGUCACACCGGAACUGAGACACGGUCCGGACUCCUACGGGAGGCAGCAGUGGGG
rnacentral:rRNA from 1 species